rnacentral:rRNA from 1 species
UACGUAGGUGGCAAGCGUUGUCCGGAUUUAUUGGGUUUAAAGGGUGCGUAGGCGGCUUAUUAAGUCAGUGGUGAAAUACUCUAGCUCAACUAGAGGGGUGCCAUUGAUACUGAUGAGCUUGAGUACAGGAUGAGGUAGGCGGAAUUGACGGUGUAGCGGUGAAAUGCUUAGAUAUCGUCAAGAACACCUAUAGCGAAGGCAGCUUACUAGGCUGUAACUGACGCUGAGGCGACGAAAGUGUGGGGAUCAAACAGG